rnacentral:rRNA from 1 species
UACGAAGGGGCUAGCGUUGUUCGGAAUCACUGGGCGUAAAGCGCACGUAGGCGGAUCUUUAAGUCAGGGGUGAAAUCCCGAGGCUCAACCUCGGAACUGCCUUUGAUACUGGGGAUCUCGAGUCCGGGAGAGGUGAGUGGAACUGCGAGUGUAGAGGUGAAAUUCGUAGAUAUUCGCAAGAACACCAGUGGCGAAGGCGGCUCACUGGACCGGUAUUGACGCUGAGGUGCGAAAGCGUGGGAGCAACAGGG